UACGUAGGGGGCUAGCGUUGUCCGGAAUCAUUGGGCGUAAAGAGCGUGUAGGCGGCCCGGUAAGUCCGCUGUGAAAGUCGGGGGCUCAACCCUCGAAUGCCGGUGGAUACUGUCGGGCUAGAGUGCGGAAGAGGCGAGUGGAAUUCCCGGUGUAGCGGUGAAAUGCGCAGAUAUCGGGAGGAACACCAGAGGCGAAGGCGGCGACCUGGAUAGGAACUGACACUAAACUACGAAAGCGUGGGGAGCAAACAGG
rnacentral:rRNA from 1 species